CAGUGUUUCUCAAGUAACCAGGGGUCAGCUUCUGGUCAGAUGUGGACUAGCAGCCACGCAAGAAAAACCCAGGUGAUGCAGGAAGUCACUCUCAUGAUUCAGCCAUCAAGCUCGACAUGUAGUCAGUGCCGAAACCACUGGAGCUUUAUCUAAUCUAGGGUAGUCAGACUAUGAGAAUGAGCAACCAGGAUGCUAGGAUGACCAAAAGGCCUUUAGGGAGGAGGGCCUAGGCCCCUCUUUGAGGGAGCCAUGUCUGAGAAGUCUUGCUAAAAUGGAGCCUCAAGCCCCUGACUGGGCCUUCUGGGACAGGAAGGAGCCUCUGAUCUGCAGCCCAAUGACAACCCACCCACCGUGAGUCUUCCUUUCACGCAUUUUUCAGGGGAGCAGGCUGGAUUUUCAAGGCAACCCAUCCCAUCCCAUCAUCUAUUAAUGACUCUACUCACCAGAAUAUUCUUUCUUACAGCUACACGUCUGACUUCUUCCUCAGUUUUUUAGGAAACAUGCUUUUCAGAGCCAAAUCACUCCUCCCAGAACUGCCUUUCAAAAUAACGUACCUGCAACUGAGCGUAAUACUGCAGCCACUAUGUGCUCUGAUGGUCCUGGUCUGUCCUGAUGGUUUCAGAUCCCAGUCUGUCCUCAGGUGGAUUAGCUGUCCUUGCAAUUACUCUGCCUCUUUUGGUUGGGGGCAUCAUUAGGUACUGAGUGUGGGUAGCUCUGCAUUCAGGGGGAGCAUUUGGGUCCUCCGACAGGCCUGGUUAGUACAGACCAUAGUGCCAUUCCCAGAAAGCAAGACAUGAUGCAAGGCUUCAGAGUGGACGAGCAAGGUGGGGAGUUUCUCUAUAUGUGGAACAACUCAGAGUGGAAACUCAAACCAUCUCAAGUAAAAAGUCUAAGAAACCAGCAGCCAUGGAACUGCUGGAGAUACCUGCCAUCUAUCCCCUAGAAGGAGACAGCAGGACAGUUCCAUGCUCUCUGUCUCUGCUCCACACCCACUGCCAAGAAGGUGCCCCCAUGGUCCCCUGACCAAGGCUGGGGGCAGUGUCAGUAGCUCCCUCCAAGCUACUCUGCUGCCCUCUGCUGGUGGAGUCUUGCAGCAGCUUCAAAAAAGGCAGGACUUUCUGGGAAGUUGUAACACAAGAUAGCAGACAGAAGACUCACUAGGAGCCACCCUGGGCCCAAGGGGAUGACUGGAGGAUAACUUCCUGGGUAGUAUAAGUCUGUCUGCAGGGAAGCUACAAAAAGAAACUGUGGAAAGAAGGCAAGCGGAGGGUUCCAUUUGUAACAGAAUAGCAUACAGAGACAAUGGUAGGAUCUGCUUUCAUAGGUCAUUCCCCCAAUCAAAUCUGGAUUCUUUCCUGAAGUAAAGCUCAAUUCUUGGCCUUCACUCAAACAAAAUUACACAUGAAAAGGAUCUAGCCAAUGUCAGGCACACAUGAGGUCCCAAAGAAACAGGAGUUCCCUUACAGUGAUUAGUGGAUGCCUCUCUCUAUACCUGGGUCUCCUACUUUCCUCCCCCAGAACCCAGAGCAGGCAGUGCUGCUAAGACUUCACCAUAUACCGAGUGUAUUUAGAAGAAUCAAUAAACUACAAACAAUUCUCACUUAA